GACGGGCGGGCGGACAGACAGGUGAAUAAGGGGACAGGCGGCGGGCGGGCAGACAGACAGAGAGACGAAUAAGGGGACAGACAGACAGAGAGGGAGGUGAAUAAGGGGACAAGCGUGCACACAGAUUACCUUUACGGUAUUUGUCAGACGCCCAUUUAUCUCAUUCAUACAUCUGAGCAAUUGAGGGUUAAGAGCCCCACUCAAGAGCCCAAAAGUCCAGCUUGGCGGUGCUGGGGUUUGAACUCACAAUUGUCUGAGCAGUAGACCAACACCUUACCCACGAGGCCACCACUUACCCACGAGGCCACCACUUACCCACGAGGCCACCCUUUCUGUCAGAUACAUGGACUUGUAGAAAGAUGACAGGCAGGUAGUACAGACAGAGGGAUGGAUGGAUUAAAUGAUGGAUAAGGGGUGGAUAGAUGCAGAGGAAGGUAGAAGGAUGGGUGUACAGGUAGAUGUACAGAUGAACUAAGUGAUCUAUGAUGGAUGAGAAUGGUAGAGAGGUAUAUAAAGGGAUAGACAGACAAAUGGAUCGUUGGACAGACGAGGACGUAGAAGGAUGCAUGGAUGGAUAUAUGGUCUGAUUGAAACCGGACAGAUAAACGGAUAAAUAUAUGAACUGAUGAUGUAUAGGGGGACUGAUGAAACAGAUGACGGGGAGAUAAACAGACGGAUGGAUUAUUGGUCAGACAGAUGGCUAUGUAGACAAAUGGACUGAUUGCAUAUAGAGAUGGACGGAUGGAUGGACGGGUAAAGACACGGGUAGACGGGAGGACAGAGAGAAACAGACAGAGAUCGAUGGAUGGUCAGACAGACAGGUGGUUGUUUUGUGAAAUUACAGAGAGGGUUAUAGUUUGGGAAAUGAACCAGUGAGUCACUGCUUCACUGUUCAGGGAGUUUUUAGUUCCUCUUUUUCUCCUCGUUCCUUCUUUCUGUCAUUUUUCUAAUUGUAAUCUGAUUUCACUCAAGUGUUAAAACAUCAGACGUCAGUCUUGCGUAAACUCAGAGCUUCUGGUUUCUCAGACACAGAAAAACCGUUAUUCUGUAAGAGCUAUUAUGCGUGUCAGUAAUGUGAAUAUUUCUGAUGUCUGAUAAGAGUUCUCUCUCUCGCGCGCACGCGCGCACGCGCUCUCUCUCCUGACCAUCACACCUGUGAGCUCGUUGGACAUCUCAUUCCAAAACCCGACAUUUUGGAGUGUGUCUGUAGGAAUUUGUGCUCAUUCAGCCGCAAGAGCGUUCGAGAGAUCAGGCACUGAUGUUAAACCUGGAGUCCUGGCUCACAAUCCACCUUCCAGUAGGUGUUCAUGGGGUUGAGGUCAGGGAUCUGUGCAUGCCACUGGAGUUCCUCCACACCAAACUCAUUAACAUUAUCCUUCACUGGAUCUGAGGGGCCCAAACCCUGAAAAACAGCCCUGACCUACCAUCGUCCCACCUCCACCACACUGUGUUAGCACACUGUAUUCCAGUAGGAAGCGUUCUCCAGGCGUCCACCCAACCCAUACUCGUUCUCCAGGCGUCCACCCAACCCGUACUCGUUCUCCAGGCGUCCGCCAAACCCGUACUUGUUCUCCAGGCGUCCGCCAAACCCGUACUCGAUCAUACUGCCAGAUCGUGAAGUCUGAUUUCAUCACUCCAGAGAACACAUUUCCACUGCUCCAGAGUCGGUGCUUUAAACCACUCCAUCCAACGCUUAGCAUUACACACGGAGAGUGAUCUUAGGCUUGUGUGCAGCUGCUUGAUGAUGGAACCUGUUUCAUGUAGUUCUUGAUGCACGGUUCUUGUGCUGAUGUUGCUUCAAGAGGCAGUUUGGAGCUCUGUAGUGAGCGAUGCAACAGAGGACGGUGAUAUUUACGCUCUGUGCGCUUCAGCACUCGGCAGCCCCGCUCUGUGAGGUCAGAUGAGCUCUUGUUGCUCCUCGACGUUUCCGUUUCACAGUAAGAGCAAUUAGAGUCGACCGAGGCAGAUCUAACGGCAGAAAUUUCACCAGGGCCACGUCACCUUUUAAAGUCGCAGCCGUUCUACUGCCAGUGUGUGUCUGUGAAGACUGCUGGAUUUUUUU
ensembl:lncRNA